rnacentral:rRNA from 1 species
UACAGAGGGUGCAAGCGUUAAUCGGAAUUACUGGGCGUAAAGCGUGCGUAGACGGUUAUGUAAGUCGGGUGUGAAAGCCCCGGGCUCAACCUGGGAACUGCAUUUGUGACUGUAGAGCUGGAGUACGGCAGAGGGGGAUGGAAUUCCGCGUGUAGCAGUGAAAUGCGUAGAUAUGCGGAGGAACACCGAUGGCGAAGGCAAUCCCCUGGGCCUGUACUGACGCUCAUGCACGAAAGCGUGGGGAGCAAACAGG